rnacentral:rRNA from 1 species
GACGAACGCUGGCGGCGUGCCUAAUACAUGCAAGUAGAACGCAGUUGCGAACGGGUGAGUAACGCGUAGGUAACUGCCUCAUAGCGGGGGCUUACUAUUGGAAACGAUAGCUAAUACCGCAUACUGUGAGAUGGAACUGCGUGGUAUUAGCUAGUUGGUGAGGUAAAGGCUCACAAAGGCGCCGAUACAUAGCCGACCUGAGAGGGAGACCGGCCACACUGGGACUGAGACACGGCCCAUACUCCGACGGUAGGCAGCAGUGGGGAAUAUUGCACAAUGGGCGCAAGCCUUAUACAGCCAUGCCGCGUGUAUUAAGAAGGCCUUCGGGUUGUAAAGUACUGUCAGCGGGGAGGCGUUACCCGCAGAAGAAGCACCGGCUAACUCCGUGCCAGCCGCCGCGGUAAUUC